GACGAACGCUGGCGGCGUGCCUAAUACAUGCAAGUAGAACGCUGAAGGAGGAGCUUGCUUCUCUGGAUGAGUUGCGAACGGGUGAGUAACGCGUAGGUAACCUGCCUGGUAGCGGGGGAUAACUAUUGGAAACGAUAGCUAAUACCGCAUAAUAGCAGUUGUUGCAUGACAACUGUUUGAAAGGUGCAAUUGCACCACUACCAGAUGGACCUGCGUUGUAUUAGCUAGUUGGUGGGGUAACGGCUCACCAAGGCGACGAUACAUAGCCGACCUGAGAGGGGGAUCAGCCACACUGGGACUGAGACACGGCCCAGGCUCCUACGGGAGGCAGCAGUAGGGAAUCUUCGGCAAUGGGCGGAAGUCUGACCGAGCAACGCCGCGUGAGUGAAGAAGGUUUUCGGAUCGGAAAGCUCUGUUGUAAGGGAAGAAAGAGUGUGAGAGUGGAAAGUUCACACUGUGACGGUAUCUUACCAGAAAGGGACGGCUAACUACGUG
rnacentral:rRNA from 1 species